UCAGGAUGAACGCUGGCGGCGUGACUUAACACAUGCAAGUCGAACGGAGUUUUAACGGAAGUUUCGGAUGGAAGUUUAAGAACUUAGUGGCGGACGGGUGAGUAACGCGUGGGUAACCUGCCUCAUACAGGGGGAUAACAGUCAGAAAUGACUGCUAACACCGCAUAAUAUAGUGAAACCGCAUGAUUUUGCUAUCAAAUAUUUAUAGGUAUGAGAUGGGCCCGCGUCUGAUUAGCUAGUUGGUGGGGUAAAGCCUACCAAGGCGACGAUCAGUAGCCGGCUUGAGAGAGUGACCGGCCACAUUGGGACUGAGACACGGCCCAAACUCCUACGGGAGGCAGCAGUGGGGAAUAUUGGACAAUGGGGGAAACCCUGAUCCAGCGAACCGCCGCGUGAGUGAAGAAGUAUUUCGGUAUGUAAAGCUCUAUCAGCAGGGAAGAUAAUGACAGUACCUGACUAAGAAGCCCCGGCUAACUACGUGCCAGCCGCUGC
rnacentral:rRNA from 1 species